GUGCUCGCUUCGGCAGCACAUAUACUAAAAUUGGAACGAGACAGAGAACAUUAGCAUGGCCCCUGCUCAAGGAUGACAAGCAAAUUCGUGAAGCAUUCCAUAUUUUU
rnacentral:snRNA from 1 species